rnacentral:misc_RNA from 1 species
CAGGCGACCGCGGCAGAGGAGCGGGCCGACCUGGGGAAGAGAGUGGUCGGCGGCCAGCAAGUAGGAUCCGGGCGACAGCGGCGAGAUCGAGAUGGCGGCGGGGCAGGUGUCUUGCGUGGUCGGCGGCCAACCUGGGACAGAGAGAAGCAGGCGUCCACGACAGAGGGUCCGGGAAGGCCGACGUCCAGGGGAGUUGUGGCCGGCGGUGACUGUAGAGAGGAGGGCCGGCGACCAGGAGGUGGGAAGGAGGGAGAGAGAGAAAAAAAUGGAGAGAGAACUAAACCUAGCUCUGGAACCAAGUUGGAGAAUGGAAACCCUAGCCCUAAUCGUGCAUAUAUAUAAUCCAAGUAACAUUCUUUCUUCUCCUUUAUUGCCUUUCGAACGCGGUCCACCACCAAGUAUCUUUAGGUUCACCUCUUCUCCCUUUGGUCACUCCAAACACCUCUGACGCCACCUUCCUAAUACAAGUUGCCAUCUUCACCCACAUGUUGUUUGCAUCUUCUUCUUCGGAC